rnacentral:lncRNA from 1 species
AGGACGCAAGGGUCCUCCAGCUGCUACUCCUCAUGGGCCUCGUGCAGGUGAGAGGGAUUCAGAACCGGAGAAAUGUUCCUGGAAAGGGAUCCUCAAGCAACUAAGGAACCAAGAAAGGGUUAACUUUGAGCCCCACAGUGACUUCAAUCAUUGGCUCAGGGCUGUGUCAGUCAGCGUUCUGGGGGUGGGGUUUGCGGGGCCGCUUUCGGACUGCCCAGCGCCCCUCACUUGCCCCUCGACCCCGCACAUCAUUUCACUUCUGGGCUGCGCCCACACCCCCCCAUCUUGGCGGAGAGAGCUUCCCGGGCCAUGAAGGAGGAGCGGAUCCGGGCAUCCUGGGCUUCCCCACUCCAGCUGCCUGGCUUCCUGAUAGAUGGAAUCCUUCUCUGACCAACGCCACCUACUUAUUCAUUCAACAAAUAUUUAUUGAGGACCUACUAUGUGCCAGGCUCUGGACUAGACAAUAGGUAUAUUUUGGUGAACAAGACAGAUGUGGUCCUUGCCCUCACAGACAACAAGUGAACAGUUGACUUCAAGUUGGCAUCAUGAAGGCUUGGGGAGCACUUCAGAGAUGCCUAUCCUGGACUUGGGAGUCUUGGAAAGUUUCCUGCAGGGAGCCACAUCUGAGCUGAGCCUCACUGCAGCCUAAGAUCUGCUCCUCCCACCCCAGCUCACCACAGCGCCGUCAUCCGCUCAGCUGCCCAAGCCAGGACCUGGGAAGCACCCUGAACUCCGCUCUCCACCCGCCUCCAUAACCCUCCCAGCCAAACCAUCACCCCAGAAUCUCCUCUUUUAUCACCUUUUGCUUGGCUCUUAUCUCAACAGCAUGUCAAGAGACAUCUAAAACGUCUCCCAGCUGUUUACCCACCACAAUCUCUACAUCACAGCAAAAAUCACCUUUAUAAGAUACUAACUGGAUCAUGACACUCCAGUUCAAAACUCUUCAAGGGCUUCCUUUUAUCCUUAGGAUAAAAAUUUCAAUUCCUUAAAGCGGCUUACAAAGCUCUUCAUCUGGUCCGAGUUACUUCUCCAGUGACUUCCCAAAUCCCUCUCUAACCCUCCAGUGGCCCCUCCUCUACCCUGGUCCCUUGCAGCUCUCUCAGCCUCGAACAACCUCCCCUCUCCACCUCUCCCUCCGCCUUCACCCUUCUAACUCCUACUCAACUUCUAGGUCCUCGCUUAUUCACCACUUCCUCCAGGAAGCCCUUUGGGACUGCCCAAGCCCAUGUCAGUUACCCCUUUGGUGAGGAGCCUCUUUGGCAAGCCAUUUAACUUCUCUGACCUUCAUUUCCUCAUUAAGAAAAUGAAGAUAAUAACAGUACUCACUUCACAGAAGUUGUUAUG